rnacentral:rRNA from 1 species
GAUGAACGCUAGCGGCAGGCCUAAUACAUGCAAGUCGAACGGUGUCUUCGGACAUAGUGGCGCACGGGUGCGUAACACGUAUGCAACCUACCUUACAUUGGGGGAUAGCCUUUCGAAAGGGAGAUUAAUACCGCAUAAGACAGUAGCUGGGCAUCCAGCAGCUGUUAAAGAUUUAUCGAUGUAAGCUGGGCAUGCGUCCAAUUAGCUAGUUGGUGAGGUAACGGCUCACCAAGGCAAUGAUUGGUAGGGGAACUGAGAGGUCAAUCCCCCACACUGGCACUGAGAGACGGGCCAGACUCCUACGGGAGGCAGCAGUAGGGAAUAUUGGGCAAUGGACGCAGGUCUGACCCAGCCAUGCCGCGUGCAGGAUGAAGGCGUUAUGCGUUGUAAACUGCUUUUAUACAGGAAGAAACGACUCUUGCGAGAGGCAUUGACGGUACUGUAUGAAUAAGCACCGGCUAACUCCGUGCCAGCCGCCGCCGUAA